rnacentral:rRNA from 1 species
UACGGAGGGUGCAAGCGUUGUCCGGAUUUAUUGGGUUUAAAGGGUGCGUAGGCGGUUCUUUAAGUCUGGGGUGAAAGCCCGUUGCUCAACAACGGAACUGCCCUGGAAACUGGAGGACUUGAGUACAGACGAGGGUGGCGGAAUGGAUGCUGUAGCGGUGAAAUGCAUAGAUAGCAUCCAGAACCCCGAUUGCGAAGCAGCU